GCCAGGCAUAGUGGCACAUGCCUGUAAUCCCAGCAGCUUGGGAGGCUGAGGCAGGAGGAUCAUGAAUUCAAAGCCAGCCUCAGCAAAAGCGAGGUACUAAGCAACUCAGUGAGACCCUGUCUCUA
rnacentral:sRNA from 1 species